UGUGGGAGCGGGCUUGCCCGCGAUGACGGCCCGACAUUCAACAUCUGUUUUGGAGCUGAUGGCCCUAUCGCGGGCAAGCCCGCUCCCACA
rnacentral:misc_RNA from 1 species